rnacentral:rRNA from 1 species
UACGGGGGGAGCAAGCGUUGUUCGGAUUUACUGGGCGUAAAGGGCGCGUAGGCGGCGUGACAAGUCACUUGUGAAAUCUCCGGGCUUAACUCGGAACGGUCAAGUGAUACUGUCGUGCUAGAGUACAGAAGGGGCAACUGGAAUUUUCGGUGUAGCGGUGAAAUGCGUAGAUAUCGAGAGGAACACCUGCGGCGAAGGCGGGUUGCUGGGCUGAUACUGACGCUGAGGCGCGAAAGCUAGGGGAGCGAACGGG